GACUAAGCGUACACGGUGGAUGCCCUGGCAGUCAGAGGCGAUGAAGGGCGUGCUAAUCUGCGAUAAGCGCCGGUAAGGUGAUAUGAACCGUUAUAACCGGCGAUACCCGAAUGGGGAAACCCAGUGUGAUUCGUCACACUAUCAUUAACUGAAUCCAUAGGUUAAUGAGGCGAACCGGGGGAACUGAAACAUCUAAGUACCCCGAGGAAAAGAAAUCAACCGAGAUUCCCCCAGUAGCGGCGAGCGAACGGGGAGGAGCCCAGAGCCUGAAUCAGCAUGUGUGUUAGUGGAAGCGUCUGGAAAGGCGCGCGAUACAGGGUGACAGCCCCGUACACAAAAGCGCAUGUGCUGUGAGCUCGAUGAGUAGGGCGGGACACGUGGUAUCCUGUCUGAAUAUGGGGGGACCAUCCUCCAAGGCUAAAUACUCCUGACUGACCGAUAGUGAACCAGUACCGUGAGGGAAAGGCGAAAAGAACCCCGGCGAGGGGAGUGAAAAAGAACCUGAAACCGUGUACGUACAAGCAGUGGGAGNNNNNNNNNNNNNNNNNNNNNNNNNNNNNNNNNNNNNNNNNNNNNNNNNNNNNNNNNNNGGGCGUUAAGUUGCAGGGUAUAGACCCGAAACCCGGUGAUCUAGCCAUGGGCAGGUUGAAGGUUGGGUAACACUAACUGGAGGACCGAACCGACUAAUGUUGAAAAAUUAGCGGAUGACCUGUGGCUGGGGGUGAAAGGCCAAUCAAACCGGGAGAUAGCUGGUUCUCCCCGAAAGCUAUUUAGGUAGCGCCUCGUGAAUUCAUCUCCGGGGGUAGAGCACUGUUUCGGCUAGGGGGCCAUCCCGGCUUACCAACCCGAUGCAAACUGCGAAUACCGGAGAAUGUUAUCACGGGAGACACACGGCGGGUGCUAACGUCCGUCGUGAAGAGGGAAACAACCCAGACCGCCAGCUAAGGUCCCAAAGUCAUGGUUAAGUGGGAAACGAUGUGGGAAGGCCCAGACAGCCAGGAUGUUGGCUUAGAAGCAGCCAUCAUUUAAAGAAAGCGUAAUAGCUCACUGGUCGAGUCGGCCUGCGCGGAAGAUGUAACGGGGCUAAACCAUGCACCGAAGCUGCGGCAGCGANNNNNNNNNNNNNNNNNNNNNNNNNNNNNNNNNNNNNNNNNNNNNNNNNNNNNNNNNNNNNNNNNUGCUGGAGGUAUCAGAAGUGCGAAUGCUGACAUAAGUAACGAUAAAGCGGGUGAAAAGCCCGCUCGCCGGAAGACCAAGGGUUCCUGUCCAACGUUAAUCGGGGCAGGGUGAGUCGACCCCUAAGGCGAGGCCGAAAGGCGUAGUCGAUGGGAAACGGGUUAAUAUUCCCGUACUUGGUGUUACUGCGAAGGGGGGACGGAGAAGGCUAUGUUGGCCGGGCGACGGUUGUCCCGGUUUAAGCGUGUAGGUGUGUGUUCCAGGUAAAUCCGGUUCACUUUAACACUGAGGCGUGACGACGAGGCACUACGGUGCUGAAGCAACAAAUGCCCUGCUUCCAGGAAAAGCCUCUAAGCAUCAGGUAACACGAAAUCGUACCCCAAACCGACACAGGUGGUCAGGUAGAGAAUACCAAGGCGCUUGAGAGAACUCGGGUGAAGGAACUAGGCAAAAUGGUGCCGUAACUUCGGGAGAAGGCACGCUGACACGUAGGUGAAGUGAUUUACUCAUGGAGCUGAAGUCAGUCGAAGAUACCAGCUGGCUGCAACUGUUUAUUAAAAACACAGCACUGUGCAAACACGAAAGUGGACGUAUACGGUGUGACGCCUGCCCGGUGCCGGAAGGUUAAUUGAUGGGGUCAGCGCAAGCGAAGCUCCUGAUCGAAGCCCCGGUAAACGGCGGCCGUAACUAUAACGGUCCUAAGGUAGCGAAAUUCCUUGUCGGGUAAGUUCCGACCUGCACGAAUGGCGUAAUGAUGGCCAGGCUGUCUCCACCCGAGACUCAGUGAAAUUGAACUCGCUGUGAAGAUGCAGUGUACCCGCGGCAAGACGGAAAGACCCCGUGAACCUUUACUAUAGCUUGACACUGAACAUUGAGCCUUGAUGUGUAGGAUAGGUGGGAGGCUUUGAAGUGUGGACGCCAGUCUGCAUGGAGCCGACCUUGAAAUACCACCCUUUAAUGUUUGAUGUUCUAACGUGGACCCGUAAUCCGGGUUGCGGACAGUGUCUGGUGGGUAGUUUGACUGGGGCGGUCUCCUCCUAAAGAGUAACGGAGGAGCACGAAGGUUGGCUAAUCCUGGUCGGACAUCAGGAGGUUAGUGCAAUGGCAUAAGCCAGCUUGACUGCGAGCGUGACGGCGCGAGCAGGUGCGAAAGCAGGUCAUAGUGAUCCGGUGGUUCUGAAUGGAAGGGCCAUCGCUCAACGGAUAAAAGGUACUCCGGGGAUAACAGGCUGAUACCGCCCAAGAGUUCAUAUCGACGGCGGUGUUUGGCACCUCGAUGUCGGCUCAUCACAUCCUGGGGCUGAAGUAGGUCCCAAGGGUAUGGCUGUUCGCCAUUUAAAGUGGUACGCGAGCUGGGUUUAGAACGUCGUGAGACAGUUCGGUCCCUAUCUGCCGUGGGCGCUGGAGAACUGAGGGGGGCUGCUCCUAGUACGAGAGGACCGGAGUGGACGCAUCACUGGUGUUCGGGUUGUCAUGCCAAUGGCACUGCCCGGUAGCUAAAUGCGGAAGAGAUAAGUGCUGAAAGCAUCUAAGCACGAAACUUGCCCCGAGAUGAGUUCUCCCUGAGACUUAGAGUCUCCUGAAGGAACGUUGAAGACGACGACGUUGAUAGGCCGGGUGUGUAAGCGCAGCGAUGCGUUGAGCUAACCGGUACUAAUGAACCGUGAGGCUUAACCUUACAACGC
rnacentral:rRNA from 1 species